ensembl:lncRNA protein ripply2-like
AUUUAAACAGUUUUGCGGUUCAGUACAACCAUGAAAAAUGAACUCCAACACCAGUGGGACGGUGGAAUCAUUUCUUGUGGGAAUUUUAGACGGAUGGAUGUUCGGGGUGUGAGGUCAGCCGUUUGCCUCGUGGUGCCACCUCCACACUGCGGGUGACACCUCCACACGCGGCAGCAGUGUCGCAUGCAGCGACACCUCCGCUGCACGCGUCCGCCGCACAAGGUGCCAACGCGCAAUUUGCCGCGAGCGCCGCUGCGUCCACAUAAAGCCGGAGCAGAGCCCGAGUAGACAGCAGCUCGGACCCCGGACCGACUAGUCCCAGCAUCAUGGACACCGUAACGACGCGGACCGCGACGUGCAGCAGCGUGCGCGUCCACGCGGACCUUUCAGCGCAAGGCGCGCCUCGGCCGCGCGCUCAGCUGUGGAGACCGUGGAUUAAAGGAGACUCCAGAAACAAGCCUUACAGGAGACCAACUGCAGCCUCAGCAGAUGUCAAAGAGACCAGGAGGUUCUCGCACCCCGUAAAGUUGAUGUGGCCCCGGUCGCGCUGCUAUGACUUCCUGUACCAGGAGGCGGCGCUGCUGCUGCAGGUCUAUCCUGUCCAAGCGACCAUCUGUCCAUACGAAGAUUCCAGCAGCGACGAGGAGGACAGCGACCACGACGAGAAGGAGCUGAACUGAACACUGGACACUUCAAAUAUUUAUUCAUGUGUAUAAUCUGUACAUAAUAAUAAUGAUAUAAUAUUUUUUACUGCUUAUUCUAAUAUAUCGAUGCCCAGAGUAUAAUGAAAAUUAAAAUAUUUUAUUGAGAUGCACC